CAGUCGAGGGGCAUCAUGAGGUAGCAAUACCUUGAUGGCGACCGGCGCACGGGUGAGUAACGCGUAUGCAACCUGCCCGAUACCGGGGUAUAGCCCAUGGAAACGUGGAUUAACACCCCAUAGUACUUUUAUCCUGCCUGGGAUGGGAGUUAAAUGUUCAAGGUAUCGGAUGGGCAUGCGUCCUAUUAGUUAGUUGGCGGGGUAACAGCCCACCAAGACGAUGAUAGGUAGGGGUUCUGAGAGGAAGGUCCCCCACAUUGGAACUGGGACACGGUCCAAACUCCUACGGGAGGCAGCAGUGAGGAAUAUUGGUCAAUGGACGAGAGUCUGAACCAGCCAAGUCGCGUGAGGGAAGACUGCCCUAUGGGUUGUAAACCUCUUUUAUAAGGGAAGAAUAAGUUCUACGUGUAGAAUGAUGCCUGUACCUUAUGAAUAAGCAUCGGCUAACUCCGUGCCAGCAGCCGCGGUAAUACGGAGGAUGCGAGCGUUAUCCGGAUUUAUUGGGUUUAAAGGGUGCGUAGGCGGUUUAUUAAGUUAGUGGUUAAAUAUUUGAGCUAAACUCAAUUGUGCCAUUAAUACUGGUAAACUGGAGUACAGACGAGGUAGGCGGAAUAAGUUAAGUAGCGGUGAAAUGCAUAGAUAUAACUUAGAACUCCGAUAGCGAAGGCAGCUUACCAGACUGUAACUGACGCUGAUGCACGAGAGCGUGGGUAGCGAACAGGAUUAGAUACCCC
rnacentral:rRNA from 1 species